CCUCCUCCUCCACUCCUGCUCCCUGCUCCCCUUUUCUUCCCUCACUCUCGACCUCCCUUCUUCCUCACCCCCAGCUCAUUAUCAUGUAAAUUGUCUUAACCUUUGGAGCAGCCUCUCUCCUCCCUGUGCUUCUGCGUGCUCAGCCCAGGGCCUACAUCUGCAUCACAAAAGCAGAGAAACUUGGGCAGAACUGGCCUGGACUCCUUGGAAGAAAGGAUGGGGGGGGGGGGGGGAGACAAUUACAGGAUUAGAAGGUUCACUUGGACUGAUGAGGGGAUGGAGAAGCAAUCCCGUGUUAACAGAUUUUAUCACCUGCACAUAUAAACGUACAUAGCAUUUAUGUGCAUAUCCGUGUAUACUUACCUAUGUAACAUACCUUGUAAACUAGUGGGGCAGGAGGAAGAAGUAAUGCCUUGAGCUUGUAGGAGGCUUUAUCCAGUUGAAAAUACUCUUGUUUUCAUUUGUUCACCCUUUGUACAUGUGCUUAUUUCUCUCAUUAAAUUAUAAAUGCCCUGAGGACAGAGUACAGGUCUUGUGUAUGGUGCCUGACACAAGAAGUGUUGGAUACUAUGUUCAUAUCCCAGCCGUACCACCAGCUCUAUGGCCCUGGGUAAAAUAUUCAGCCUCCUCAACACUCAGUGUUGCUGUCUCUAAAAUGGGCAUAAUCCUAAUACCUUCUUCAUUCAUCUGCUGUAAAAUUAAAUGAGAUAAUGCAUGCCAAGUGCUAAGGAGAAGGCCUGACGCAGAGUUCUCAGCGCAUAAAUAAGUCUUGUUCUUUUGUUUGUUUGUUUAAAAUUAUCGAUAAAAUCUUGAUAAAUGAUCCUGAUAGCAAUCUAGUGAGGAAUGGGCACAGUUGUAUCUGCAUUUUGCAUGUUAGAAACAGAGGCACAGGUACUUAGUUGAGCUGCGCAGGGUCACUGACCUAAACAGGACUGAAGACUGGUGCUGGCAGGAAUUGCUGCCUGGGGCUCUUCUGUUCCACCAAGGGGCUUCAUUAGAACUGCCCCCCACCAACCUGAGAUAAUGGCAGCUCUUUGGGGAGGCAGAAUCAAAUUUCACACUUGGUUUCCAGAAUGUCAUCAGAUCUCCUCUGGUAAAAGAAAUCUUGACAUUUAAGUCACACAGUGGAGCUCAGAACCCUAUCUUUUUUUUUUUUUUUUUUUUUAAUCAGGAAAAUAUUGUGGCCUUGUCUCCGUGGCAUAGCGCGGUUCACCCUUGUAGUUUGCUUGAAUUCUGAAACGGACGAAAACAAGGAUGCUCUGUGGCCUGUGUUCUGCCUGAGUUCCCUGGGGCCUGGAGAAAGCUCACUGGUGGUUGUCAGAUCUGAUGGGGGCUGGGGGAGGCGCAGAUGAAGGCCUCCAUGUGCCGGUGCCCAAACCUGAGGCCAGGAAGAGGCUUCUGCUGGGAGCAGCCAGAACGCCUGUCACGUGCUGCGCACGAGGCUCCCUGGCUAUCCCAGCCCAACUCUGUCCGCCCUGCUCUGACCUUUUGCCUGCCCAGAUCAAAAGAGCUGGAAACUCCUCCAUUUAAGACCAUCUAAUUCUACUGCUCCAUUUUGCAGAUGGGGCAAAAUAGGCCCCAUCUGGCCCAAACAGGAAAGGGACCUACUCAGGGGAUGAUGUGGCAGACCCAGGACUAGAACUUCAAGUUUCCGGAGUCACGGUUCACUUCUCUUUCCAUCUGACCAGUCUGCCUCAAAUUACCCAGCCAAUGGGAGGCCUCAUUUUCUUUCAUUCGGUUGGCCAGUUAGUCAUUUCACAAACGCUUACGGAGCACUCGCUUCCUGGCUGACCAUGCAUAGGGCGGCAGGGUUGGAUACAAAGAUAAAAAGAGGUAGGGCUCUCAAGCUUGGGUGGAGAUCCUGUUCUUCAGAUGAGAAGGUAGACUUCUUGAUUUCUAAGACUUCCUACAGCUCUGACAUUCCAGCUCUACGUGACUCAGUGCAGCCAGGUCAGCUCCUUCCCUGUAGUCUAAAACCACCUCAGGCUCCAGGUUUGGGACAGACACCCAUUGUUUAAGCCCUGCCAUAUGGAGCCCCACAUCUGGCUGCUGAGACCUUGGCCCAGGGUGGCAGCACCAGUCUCGUCCAUCUGCAUGUUCCCCCCAUCAUUGUGUUCAGUGCACAGCAGGGGCCAGUGGAUAGCUGAGCUCGUGAGUGAUUCCAUUCAACCAGCAGGUGUUCCGAGGCCAAGUGCUGGGCUAGGUGCUAGGGAUAUGCUUGUGAACCGGACAGACACAGCCUCUGCCCUGAACAGAGGCUGUGGAGGAGGGAAUGAAAGAUACAGAACACACUUAUUUCCAUGCCUUCUUGAUCUCAAUGUUGAGGGCAAAGGUGGCUGGAGCAGCCUCCUGCAUUGCCCCAUUUAUUUGUCCAUGCAGGAACUCAUGUAGCGGUGGGUCAGACCCAGUCCCUGCCCCCAAAGGGCACUGGCAAGGAGGGCAGACACUUCCAUAGAGAGCGUUUUUUAUUUUCAUGGAAGUGCAGUGAGAUGAGCCCUGAGGUGGGUAAUGAUGAUGGAGAUAAUAACAGUGAUCUAUCAGUGGGUUGUCUGAAGAUUAAAUGACUCGGAAAGUGUGUGCUCUUAGAGCAGGGCCUUGCACACAGUAGGUGCUCAGGAGAGGUUAAUUAACAUCAGGAUUGUGUGCCUUAAAGCAAAGUGACAGCUAUUAUAGUUUUCAAAGGUUGCUUCUGCCUGUCAGGUGAAGGGGAGCAGGGAGCCAGGCCUUCUGGGCAGAGGGUGGUGGGAGCUAAAUAAAGGUAUGUGAAAGGGGCCUGAGAACUGGCAUAGGGGAAGUACUGCUUUUGCUUAGUUUCUGUCCUGUUGUCACUUAUCCGUCCUGGGGAAACGGUAGGAAAGUCGGAGCAGGCUUGAAGAAGUCACUUCACGCACGAUUGGCGUUUAAGGAAGAGGUGCCGCUGAGGGGAAGGCAAGGUUUCUCAUCUGAGCUUUGGCGAUUCCUAAGGGCGAUGGUCGAAAACCUUUUUCUGAAUCUUGAUGAAAUGCUAAGCCAUUCCCUCUUUUAGUAAGUCUAGUGUUGAAAACACAGCAGGGUUUUUGCUGGUUGAUAGAGGAUCACAUUGGGUCUCUGGGUCCUCCCUGUGGACACUCGGGCGCUGUGGUCCAGGCCCAGAAAUGAAGGACAUUCUUACAGGAGGUCGGGCUCAAUCUGCUGCCCCAGGGCAUUCUGAAGAACUUGCCUUCUGGAUGGACUACAUUGCUGGGAAAACAGUUUACCUGGGGGAAAGCCCACAUUCUUCCUGCCCUGAGGCCUUUGACCCGGAGACAACAGGCCGGAUGUGAACACUCCCUGAGCUGGUUCUUGAAGAACCAGGAGACUGCCAUUAGAGUCAGGGACGUGUUGUACACAUUGGAUUUCAGGUGGUCGCGCUCUUAAGUGUAAUCGGUAAGUGCUUUCCCUUGAGCGAGCCACUCCAAGCUUCACUGUGCACGUUAGCAUGUAUUUGGCAGCAAGGAAAAGAACAGCCAGCCAACAGCGUCCUAAACCAUAGGAACAGCCAUCGUUUCCUGGAGAGGGAGGCCCAAGAGUCGGCAGGCCCAGGGCCGUCCAGGAGGCUGCGCAGCCCGGCUUCUUACCCGGCAUUGGCCUAGCAGUCAGGAAACUGGAGGAAGCAAAACCGUGGCCUCUUUUGCCACUCUAGUGGGACACACAGGCAGGAGAGGAGGGCAGUUUGGGGAUAGCACCAGGCACCGCGUGUGGACUGCCGGGAAUUAGGCCGGCAUGUGCAGGAAUUUGCAGAGGGGCAGGGACACAGACAUUCAGUCUAUGGCACCCGUGGUGGCUCAGAAGGUUGAUGUCCCAAGGGGCACCAGAGACAAGAAAACAGCUGGUGGCGGGUGAUUCCUGCCAGGGCAAAGCUGGAGGAAGAAGUCCUGAGGAGGAAGUUCAGUCCAGCUGAUCCUGGGUCAGGGCUCCCUGGGCAGAGCACAGCAGUCAGGCCCCCUCAGCCCCACCGUUCCCCAACACCCCAACUUCUCUGUCUCAUCGGGUGUUGUCGAGGCCACAGCCAGCCCCAGCCCCCAUCUGGCCCCCCCCCUCCGACAUCCCCUCCAAGGCAUGCCAAGUGGAGGGGUAUUAAGGCCGGGCCACUGCUGUCUUUGCACGUUCACGUGUUCGUUGCCUGGAGAAAGGGGAGUGGGAUUUUUAAAAGAAAAAAAGGAAAAGGAAACAUAAAUGGGAGAGCCCACAGUAACAAAACGCAGUGAACAGUCAAUGAAAGCCACAGGCGAAGAUGCCUUGCCCUUGCAUGUUCUUUGUCUCUAUGUCUCUGUGUCUCUUUCACGCUAGCUUACAUCCCCCUCCCCCCGUAAGCCCAUCAUUACGCUGCUCUGCCGGUGGAAGAAUGUUACAACUAUGCAAGUAAAAUUUCCAGAGCGUCCAGACUGACGUGGGUCCCCGCUAAUGGCCCUUCCCGCGACUGUCCGGGAGGCCCCUACAUUACAACCCUUCCCGUCUCUGCCUGGCCGCCCCACAGGGGGACCUGUGAGCCUCCUCUUUGCAGAGGGAGCCUAGUGGAUACGUCCUUCAGGCCCAGCACAGUUGUUUUAAGGGGGCAAAGGAGCAACCAAAGAAACCUCCCAUCCUUAGAAGAUGCAGAGAAUGGCUAAGAGAGGCCUGCCUGGCCAUUGCCAUUUUUUGAGGUCCCUGGCAUAUUGAAAAAUAAAGAAUUCCCAAGUCAAGGUCA